rnacentral:rRNA from 1 species
UAAACAACCUGCCUUCAGGAUGGGGAUAACAGACGGAAACGACUGCUAAUACCGAAUACGUUCCACGGGCCGCAUGACCUGUGGAAGAAAGGAUAGCCUCUACCUGUAAGCUAUCGCCUGAAGAGGGGUUUGCGUCUGAUUAGGCAGUUGGUGGGGUAACGGCCCACCAAACCAACGAUCAGUAGCCGGUCUGAGAGGAUGAACGGCCACACUGGAACUGAGACACGGUCCAG